AGCCGAGCGGUAUUUAUUCUUCGGAAUAGAGAGAGCGGCGUACGGGUGCGUAACACGUGUGCAACCUGCCUUUAUCUGGGAGAUAGCCCUCCGAAAGGGGGAUUAAUAUUCCAUAAUAUCUCGUUGGGCAUCCAACGAGAUUGAAAGCUCCGGCGGAUAGAGAUGGGCACGCGCAAGAUUAGAUAGUUGGUGAGGUAACGGCUCACCAAGUCUGCGAUCUUUAGGGGGCCUGAGAGGGUGAUCCCCCACACUGGUACUGAGACACGGACCAGACUCCUACGGGAGGCAGCAGUGAGGAAUAUUGGACAAUGGGUGCAAGCCUGAUCCAGCCAUCCCGCGUGAAGGAUUAAGGUCCUAUGGAUUGUAAACUUCUUUUAUACAGGGAUAAACCUCUCCUCGUGAGGAGAGCUGAAGGUACUGUAUGAAUAAGCACCGGCUAACUCCGUGCCAGCAGCCGCGGUAAUACGGAGGGUGCAAGCGUUAUCCGGAUUUAUUGGGUUUAAAGGGUCCGUAGGCGGGCCGAUAAGUCAGUGGUGAAAUCUCGCAGCUUAACUGUGAAACUGCCAUUGAUACUGUUGGUCUUGAGUAAAUUUGAAGUGGCUGGAAUAAGUAGUGUAGCGGUGAAAUGCAUAGAUAUUACUUAGAACACCAAUUGCGAAGGCAGGUCACUAAGAUUUAACUGACGCUGAUGGACGAAAGCGUGGGUAGCGAACAGGAUUAGAUACCCUGGUAGUCCACGCCGUAAACGAUGCUAACUCGUUUUUGGGCACUUGUGCUCAGAGACCAAGCGAAAGUGAUAAG
rnacentral:rRNA from 1 species